rnacentral:piRNA from 1 species
UAUGAAAUUUUCUAAACAGUAGAACUGAAA